rnacentral:rRNA from 1 species
GACGAACGCUGGCGGCGUGCUUAACACGUGCAAGUCGAACGGAAAGGCCCUGCUUUUGUGGGGUGCUCGAGUGGCGAACGGGUGAGUAACACGUGAGUAACCUGCCCUUGACUUUGGGAUAACUUCAGGAAACUGGGCUAAUACCGGAUAGGAGCUCCUGCUGCAUGGUGGGGGUUGGAAAGUUUCGGCGGUUGGGGAUGGACUCGCGGCUUAUCAGCUUGUUGGUGGGGUAGUGGCUUACCAAGGCUUUGACGGGUAGCCGGCCUGAGAGGGUGACCGGCCACAUUGGGACUGAGAUACGGCCCAGACUCCUACGGGAGGCAGCAGUGGGGAAUAUUGCACAAUGGGCGGAAGCCUGAUGCAGCAACGCCGCGUGCGGGAUGACGGCCUUCGGGUUGUAAACCGCUUUCGCCUGUGACGAAGCGUGAGUGACGGUAAUGGGUAAAGAAGCACCGGCUAACUACGUG